rnacentral:rRNA from 1 species
GAUGAACGCUGGCGGCGUGCCUAAUACAUGCAAGUCGAGCGAACAGACGAGGAGCUUGCUCCUCUGACGUAGCGGCGGCCGGGUGAGUAACACGGGGAUAACCUACCUAUAAGACUGGGAUAACUUCGGGAAACCGGAGCUAAUACCGGAUAAUAUAUUUAACCGCAUGGUUCAAUAGUGAAAGACGGUUUUGCUGUCACUUAUAGAUGGAUCCGCGCCGCAUUAGCUAGUUGGUAAGGUAACGGCUUACCAAGGCAACGAUGCGUAGCCGACCUGAGGGGGUGAUCGGCCACACUGGAACUGAGACACGGUCCAGCCUCCUACGGGAGGCAGCAGUAGGGAAUCUUCCGCAAUGGGCGAAAGCUUGACGGAGCAACGCCGCGUGAGUGAUGAAGGUCUUCGGAUCGUAAAACUCUGUUAUUAGGGAAGAACAAAUGUGUAAGUAACUAUGCACGUCUUGACGGUACCUAAUCAGAAAGCCACGGCUAACUACGUG